ACGCAGCGAAAUGCGAUACGUAAUGUGAAUUGCAGAAUUCCGUGAAUCAUCGAAUCUUUGAACGCACAUUGCGCCCUCUGGUAUUCCGGGGGGCAUGCCUGUUUGAGCGUCAUUUCCUUCUCAAACGUCUCGUUUGGUGGUGAGUGAUACUCUGCUGGAGUUAGCUUGAAAUUGUUGGCCAUUUUAUGCGGACGUGCAUGGUGGGCUGUUUUUUUCAUUGGAAGUUUUGCAAUGAGAAAGUCGUAUUAGGUUUUACCAACUUCGACGGUCUCUGUUGCAGGGCAUUUUAAAUUCUGGUGGAAGGGCUCUGCUGUGAAGUCAUGCUGGCAAACAGGAACCUUUAAGUUUGACCUCAAAUCAGGUAGGAUUACCCGCUGAACUUAAGC
rnacentral:rRNA from 1 species